rnacentral:rRNA from 1 species
UUGAUCCUGCCGGACCCGACUGCUAUCAGAGUGGGACUAAGCCAUGCGAGUCAACGCAGCAAUGCGUGGCACACGGCUCAGUAACACGUAGUCAACAUGCCCAGGGGACGUGGAUAACCUCGGGAAACUGAGGAUAAACCGCGAUAGGCCAAGGUUUCUGGAAUGGACACUGGCUCAAACCUAUAUGGCCCCUGGAUUGGACUGCGGCCGAUCAGGCUGUUGGUGAGGUAAUGGCCCACCAAACCUGUAACCGGUACGGGCUUUGAGAGAAGGAGCCCGGAGAUGGGCACUGAGACAAGGGCCCAGGCCCUAUGGGGCGCAGCAGGCGCGAAAAUUCUGCAAUAGGCGAAAGCUUGACAGAGUUACUCUGAGUGAUGCCCGCUAAGGGCAUCUUUUGGCACCUCUAAAAAUGGUGCAGAAUAAGGGGUGGGCAAGUCUGGUGUCAGCCGCCGCGGUAAUACCAGCACCCCGAGUGGUCGGGACGAUUAUUGGGCCUAAAGCAUCCGUAGCUUGUUCUGCAAGUCUUCCGUUAAAUCCACCUGCUCAACAGAUGGGCUGCGGGAGAUACUACAGGGCUAGGAGGCGGGAGAGGCAAGCGGUACUCAGUGGGUAGGGGUAAAAUCCUCUGAUCCACUGAAGACCACCAGUGGCGAAGGCGGCUUGCCAGAACGCGCUCGACGGUGAGGGAUGAAAGCUGGGGGAGCAAACCGGAUUAGAUACC